rnacentral:lncRNA from 1 species
UAAUCCUUCUCCUUCUCUCCAGCCCAUUUUUCUCAUCAAAACGGCUCCCAUUCCUCCAGUUACCGGGGCUGCUCUUAAGAACUGAUCCUAUCCAAAGAAAGAAAGCUUUGUAAUUAAAUGCUGGGGAGAAAACAUGCCAAUGACGUGUGACUAGACAUUAAGUUCAUCAAGGUGCUCUGAUGGAAGGAGGCAGCUGUGGAGCUCAUAUUCUACCUUUUAAAACCUUACGGCAAGUGGAAGAAACUUUUUUUUUCAAAGUAAUCUUUGGAGCCAAUUCUUAAUUUGUCAGAUUUGUGGAAGGUUUAACCACAGAAUGAAAAACACAUCAAGAUAAGUAUUUGUUAUUUUUUUUGUUCUAAAAUUAAAAGCUCGAGUUGAUUUUUAUCAACUCAUUUCUUGGUUUUUGUCCUUCUUUUAACAUUAUUAUUAUUUCCUAGUUAUCUCACACAAGAAAAUUCAUUUUUGUAAAAUGCUUAUCUGACAUGGAAGAUUUUGCUGUUUUCAUAUACAAAGAAUAAGUAGACACUGCAUGAACAUAACAAAUACGGGGAAGUCAGUAAAUAGCUAACGGCUAAGGAUUUUCUUUUUUACAAGUAGAGGCUAGCUGUAAUUAAGACUAUGUAUCAUGUAUAAAAGACUUCUCUUAAGAAUAAGACCUGUCUAGUAGAGAAGGCUGUAUGACUAUGAGAAUAAUUAUAACUCAUGCAUAAGGAUUCACAAAUCUUUCUUACCUUCAGAACCCCUAAUCCUCCAUAAUUCUUAGUUACCUUGCUAAUAAACUAAUAUUCCUUUAGCUAACUCAAGGUUUUUCUUUAAGUAUGGAUUCUGAUACAAUGCCUUCUUAAAAUGAAAACAAAAUUAAUCCUUUCUGUAAUUAAGACUGUUUAUGUUAAUAUAUAAAUCUUUCUAGAGAUCUAUAAACAGUCUAAUCAACUGCAGAAUGCAUCUUUCAAAUUGAAUCUCUCAACUGUAAUUUCGCUAAGUUGAUUUAAGUAAAUCAUCACACAAAUUAGAACAAUUCUAAGACCUAUUAGAAAUAUUAAUCUAAGCAAAGUGAGAUUGAAACACUAAGAAACUUAGUAUGUCAUCUUUCACUUAAG